rnacentral:rRNA from 1 species
AUGUGUGUGCCAAAGGAGCAAGUAGGUAUGGGUUUCCGUGACAUUCAUAGUUUCAAUUUGGCGAUGCUGGCAAAAUAGUGUUGUAGGUUGAUUGAGAACAAUGAAUCAUUGUGUGCCAGAGUGUUGAGAGCUAGAUAUUACCCCAGUGGGGAUAUUCUAACCGUGAAUUUAAAAGGGUCAUCGUAUGUAUGGCGGAGCAUAUGGGUAGGGAUCCAAACCUUCAAGAAGGGCUGCACGUGGAGAGUAGAGAUGGUGCAAAACUAG